rnacentral:rRNA from 1 species
UACGGAGGGGACUAGCGUUGUUCGGAAUUACUGGGCGUAAAGCGCACGUAGGCGGAUUUGUAAGUCAGGGGUGAAAUCCCGGGGCUCAACCUCGGAACUGCCUUUGAUACUGCAAAUCUCGAGUCCGGAAGAGGUGAGUGGAAUUCCUAGUGUAGAGGUGAAAUUCGUAGAUAUUGGGAAGAACACCGGUGGCGAAGGCGGCUCACUGGCUCAUAUCUGACGCUCAGGCGCGACAGCGUGGGGAUCAAACAGG